GUUAAAAAGCUCGUAGUUGUAUUUCUGCCUAGUGGCGCAUGUCCGCCCAAGCGGUGUGUACUUUGCGUUCAUCAGGCCCUUUCAGGGGGAUGCUACUGAACUUAAUUGGUUGGUAGCAGAAUCUUGACUUUUACUUUGAGGAAAUCAGAGUGUUCCAAGCAGGCAAUCGCCUUGUAUAGCUCAGCAUGGAAUAAUAGUAUAAGACCUCGUUUUUAUCUGUUGGUUGCUUUGGCGAGGUAAUGAUGAAGAGGGAUAGUUGGGGGCAUUCGUAUUGCAUUGUCAGAGGUGAAAUUCUUGGAUUUAUGCAAGACGGACUACUGCGAAAGCAUUUGCCAUGGAUGUUUUCAUUGAUCAAGAACGAAAGUUAGGGGAUCGAAGACGAUCAGAUACCGUCGUAGUCUUAACUAUAAACCAUGCCAGCUAGAGAUCGGAGGUUGUUUAUCUUUGACACCUUCAGCAUCUUAUGAGAAAUCAAAGCCUUUGGGUUCCGGGGGGAGUAUGGUCGCAAGGCUGAAACUUAAAGGAAUUGACGGAAGGGCACCACCAGGAGUGGAGCCUGCGGCUUAAUUUGACUCAACACGGGGAAACUCACCAGGUCCGGACAUAGUAAGGAUGUACAGAUUGAUAGCUCUUUACAGAUUCUAUGGGUGGUGGUGCAUGGCCGUUCUUAGUUGGUGGAGUGAUUUGUCUGGUUAAUUCCGUUAACGAA
rnacentral:rRNA from 1 species